GCUAAUGCGGCGUCAGGUAUGGCAGUCCAUGAUGACUGCAAGCUCAAGUUUCUCGAACUCAAGGCUAAAAGGACUUUCCGUUUCAUCGUUUACAAGAUCGAGGAGCAGCAGAAACAAGUGGUUGUUGAGAAGCUCGGCGAGCCUGGUCAAUCCCAUGAUGACUUUGCAGCUAGCAAAAAGAACAUGGUUGCAGUUGAGGGAGGUUCACACAGAGUGCGGCUGGAACAAGGCAAUGUAGUUUCAACACUCAACUCCAAAAUAUACAUAUAUGAUAUAUCCAUUGGAUCUCAAUGCAUGAUCAGUUACAAACAUGGGAUAUAACUCUAAGGUGGAAUGUAAACAUAGACUCAAAGUGUGUUAUGUGUCAUGUUAACAUUUAGACCCAAAAACAGUGUGUUAUGUGUCAUGACCCUCUUAGGACACGAGAACAUAUCUUCUUUGUAUGCAGAUACUCAGCAUAAAUAUGGGAAGUGCUUACAAAGGGUUUCUCAAAAAUCAGUACACUCCAAAAUGGCAUGAGAUCAUGCAGCUCAUCGCGGCACCUUCUCAGCAAAAAAAAAAAACACCAGGUUCAUCCUCCAGUACGUGUUCAUGCAACUUUGUACUUCAUAUGGCGCAAAAUAAAUGGAAGACGUCAUAUUCUAAUUUAGUUUGUUUAUUUUAUUCUUGUUAUUGUUAUUCUUAUUUUUUUUCCAAUAAAGCCAUUUAUGACUCUUUCCUUUUUGUUUAUUUGAUUUUUUUUUUUCCGAUUUCUAGCUAAUAUUCAUUGUUUUAAGCAUAUAUAAGCUGAUCUAGCCGUGCAUUGCAACUCACGUUUCAAUAAACCAAAGUUUUAUUAGAUAAAUUGUUUUCUUCUUCAAACUCUUUGAAAUAUCUUAUCUGUAAUUCAAUUUGAGCGAUUCAUUUGUUGCUAUUGAUCUUUGGAUUAGGAUUGCUUGUGUGGUUCAAGCAAGUAUGGGUCACCACCGAUUGAGAGAAUUAAUCACACCCUGGAAGAGUCUAUUACCAUCAUCACCACCACUUCUACAUUCAUCCAUCUUCCACAAAGCUUGUUUGAUCUUUUUGACCACCUUUUAAGAAUAUGAUUGUGAAAUGAUUCACAAUUUUACAUCACUUAACAUCCACAACUUCCUCAACUCUUUAAAACUACAUGAUCAUCCUCAAAAUCAACUACCAUCUACUCACCCUGUUUUCCAUUGUCACCAAUGAGUUUUCUUGAUGGGAGUUCUCUUCAAGAUACUGUUUAUCUUAAAUGUGCCGCACAACAUGUCUAGUUGAUUUAGGAGUUCCAAUGAAUUCCUCACUAACAAACCAUGAUUUUUUUUCUCUAGGCCAUGUUGAUUAGGAAAUUGAACACAAUUGUAAACAAAGUUGCCUACUCUAACUUAAUGAACAGAAGAAAACAGAGGAAACAAUAGUAUAAGAAGCCAUAUCGGAACAAUAGUUGCAUCACGAGGCAUGCACAAGGAGUUUAUCCUUGCCGAAUAUACGAAACACGAUAAGGUAAAAAGAAGAUAUGAAAAUAGUAUAAAUUUAUCAUGUUCAUUUCUUAUCAAAACAUCAAAUGGAAAUUUCUUUUUGGAUUUUUGUUUAUUUUCUUGUGAAAUUAAUGAAAUAUUUUAUUCGGUUUGAUUUAAGAUAAACACUAAAUAUUUAUAUGGAAUUGAUAAGAUAAGACCUUCAACAUCAGUCCAUUACAUAAAAUCCACAUCAGUCUACUACAAAAAUAGUAAAUACCAAUUCAGAUGCACCUCUUGUAUAGUUUUGAAAGAUUUGCUAAUUAGCUGAGAUGUGGUAAUGAGUUGAUAGAAGUUAUUGGCUAUUCUUUUUUUUUUUUUCCAAGUAAUCAACCCAAAGAUGAUGUAUGCAGCGCGUGUAAGCAUCAUUUACACAUGUGUGGCUGUCAUCAGCAGGACAUUACAUCACAUUUUUCUUUUGACACAAGUAUCUUACCGGUUAGGUACUUAGAUCUUCCUCUUCUACCAAAGCGAAUGGCUGUAAGGAAUACCUACCAUUGGUUGAGAAGAUCAGGAAGAGCAUAACCUCUUAGACGUAAUGAUUAAUAUCCUAUGCAGGAAGGCUACAAUUAAUAAACUCGGUUAUCACAAGUCUAACAAACUUUUUGAUGGCUGCCUUUUGAUUGCCUAGUGCAUGCCUCAAGGAUAUUGAGAAGCUUUGUGUUGAUUUCCUCUGGUCAGGUCCUAAACUAGAUACAAGAAAAGAAAAUGACUCAUGGCAAGUUAUUUGUAAACUGAAAACGAAAAAAAAACUAAAAAUCAAGCCAUUGAAAAAAGCUAAUUUGAUAUUGCAGCUCAGGCGACAGUUGAAGAGGUGAUAAAAGGGCACAGAAAAGGAACCCUCUGGAAACACUGUGCCGACAAAUACAAAUCAAGAUUUUAAACAAAAAGAACAUGGUUGCAGUUGAGGGAGGUUCACACAGAGUGCGGCUGGAACAAGGCAAUGUAGUUUCAACACUCAACUCCAAAAUAUACAUAUAUGAUAUAUCCAUUGGAUCUCAAUGCAUGAUCAGUUACAAACAUGGGAUAUAACUCUAAGGUGGAAUGUAAACAUAGACUCAAAGUGUGUUAUGUGUCAUGUUAACAUUUAGACCCAAAAACAGUGUGUUAUGUGUCAUGACCCUCUUAGGACACGAGAACAUAUCUUCUUUGUAUGCAGAUACUCAGCAUAAAUAUGGGAAGUGCUUACAAAGGGUUUCUCAAAAAUCAGUACACUCCAAAAUGGCAUGAGAUCAUGCAGCUCAUCGCGGCACCUUCUCAGCAAAAAAAAAAAACACCAGGUUCAUCCUCCAGUACGUGUUCAUGCAACUUUGUACUUCAUAUGGCGCAAAAUAAAUGGAAGACGUCAUAUUCUAAUUUAGUUUGUUUAUUUUAUUCUUGUUAUUGUUAUUCUUAUUUUUUUUCCAAUAAAGCCAUUUAUGACUCUUUCCUUUUUGUUUAUUUGAUUUUUUUUUUUCCGAUUUCUAGCUAAUAUUCAUUGUUUUAAGCAUAUAUAAGCUGAUCUAGCCGUGCAUUGCAACUCACGUUUCAAUAAACCAAAGUUUUAUUAGAUAAAUUGUUUUCUUCUUCAAACUCUUUGAAAUAUCUUAUCUGUAAUUCAAUUUGAGCGAUUCAUUUGUUGCUAUUGAUCUUUGGAUUAGGAUUGCUUGUGUGGUUCAAGCAAGUAUGGGUCACCACCGAUUGAGAGAAUUAAUCACACCCUGGAAGAGUCUAUUACCAUCAUCACCACCACUUCUACAUUCAUCCAUCUUCCACAAAGCUUGUUUGAUCUUUUUGACCACCUUUUAAGAAUAUGAUUGUGAAAUGAUUCACAAUUUUACAUCACUUAACAUCCACAACUUCCUCAACUCUUUAAAACUACAUGAUCAUCCUCAAAAUCAACUACCAUCUACUCACCCUGUUUUCCAUUGUCACCAAUGAGUUUUCUUGAUGGGAGUUCUCUUCAAGAUACUGUUUAUCUUAAAUGUGCCGCACAACAUGUCUAGUUGAUUUAGGAGUUCCAAUGAAUUCCUCACUAACAAACCAUGAUUUUUUUUCUCUAGGCCAUGUUGAUUAGGAAAUUGAACACAAUUGUAAACAAAGUUGCCUACUCUAACUUAAUGAACAGAAGAAAACAGAGGAAACAAUAGUAUAAGAAGCCAUAUCGGAACAAUAGUUGCAUCACGAGGCAUGCACAAGGAGUUUAUCCUUGCCGAAUAUACGAAACACGAUAAGGUAAAAAGAAGAUAUGAAAAUAGUAUAAAUUUAUCAUGUUCAUUUCUUAUCAAAACAUCAAAUGGAAAUUUCUUUUUGGAUUUUUGUUUAUUUUCUUGUGAAAUUAAUGAAAUAUUUUAUUCGGUUUGAUUUAAGAUAAACACUAAAUAUUUAUAUGGAAUUGAUAAGAUAAGACCUUCAACAUCAGUCCAUUACAUAAAAUCCACAUCAGUCUACUACAAAAAUAGUAAAUACCAAUUCAGAUGCACCUCUUGUAUAGUUUUGAAAGAUUUGCUAAUUAGCUGAGAUGUGGUAAUGAGUUGAUAGAAGUUAUUGGCUAUUCUUUUUUUUUUUUUCCAAGUAAUCAACCCAAAGAUGAUGUAUGCAGCGCGUGUAAGCAUCAUUUACACAUGUGUGGCUGUCACUGAAAGGAAUAUUACAGCUCCGCUCAGCUGGCUUCCAUCACAGGUUAUCAUGAUCACUGAGCCGAAAGUGGAGCCACCCACACCUGAGAUGCCCAAAGAGAGCCACAUAUGCAUUUUCGACCUUUCAUUUUAUUCUUUCCUUUAAAAUAAUAAUAAUAAUAAUAUUAGCAUUAAACAAUUAGUCAAUAUAAUUAAUGGAAUUUGAAAUAGAUAAAUAAAAAUAAAAAAAAUAAUCAUUCGGACUGAUAGGCUUCCGCAUAAAUCAGAGGAAAAGGAAGAGAAAAAGACGCACAACCGAAGACUCCCACCAUCUCUCCUCCAGCUUCUUCUUCUUCGUCUCUGAAACUAGUUUGAUUCAGCCAUGGUGAGAGCUCCGUUUGAUUUCUUCAUCGUUUAUAUUUAUAUAUCUCUGAUGUCUCUUACUUGAUUGAGAGUGAUUCCAGUUCCAUUUCGUUUUCGCUUCUCGCUCAAAGUUUUAUUCGAUUAGAUCUGGAGAUAUACUCGUUGCUUGGUUUAGAUCUCUGAGAUCCAUGAGUUGUAUAAUCCUGAGAGGGACUGAUCUACGAUAGGAGUCGAACUACUGUGCUUUGUCUUGGUUAAAAAAAAAAAAUCGAUUUUUGAAAUCAGAAGACAUCUGCUUAAGAUCUGUUCAUGGUUCACUUACAUAUCUAAAAACGUUUUGUGGUCUUAUUAUUAUUGUUCUUUUUUUUUGUUUUGUUUUGUCUGUAACAAACAGGCUAAUGCGGCGUCAGGUAUGGCAGUCCAUGAUGACUGCAAGCUCAAGUUUCUCGAACUCAAGGCUAAAAGGACUUUCCGUUUCAUCGUUUACAAGAUCGAGGAGCAGCAGAAACAAGUGGUUGUUGAGAAGCUCGGCGAGCCUGGUCAAUCCCAUGAUGACUUUGCAGCUAGUCUUCCUGCUGAUGAAUGCCGUUACGCAGUUUUCGAUUUUGAUUUCGUCACUGCUGAGAGUUGCCAAAAGAGCAAGAUCUUCUUCGUC
rnacentral:lncRNA from 1 species